GCCUGGGUGGCUCAGUGGGUUAACCGUCUGACUUCGGCUCAGAGCAUGAUCUCACAGUUCGUGAGUUCGAGUCCCACAUCAGGCU
rnacentral:tRNA from 1 species